ACUCACAAUAUGGAUACAUUUUCCCCAUUUUUCCUUGUUUCGCUUCUCUUAUUGUUUUCUUGACUUAGCAUUUUUGCUUCACAGAACGCAACUCAAAACAAAAGUGAUGAAUCUAUACUUUUUGUCUUAAAAUCCCACAUCACUUCGGAUCCUUCCAAUAUUUUGAAAAAUAAUUGGACAAGUGGAACCUCGUUUUGCACAUGGAUAGGAGUUACUUGUGAUUCACUUCGUAGUAGGGUGACUAAAUUAGAUAUCUCUGUUAUGGAACUCGAAGGAAGCAUUCCACAGGAAAUCGGAAAUCUUUCUUCUCUUGUUUUUCUAGAUUUGAGUUGGAACUCUUUUCAUGGUACAAUACCAUCCACCGUUGGGAAUCUAUCAAAUCUGCAGGUCCUAUACCUCUCGUCCAACAAAUUAAAUGGUACAAUACCAUCCACCAUUGGGAAUCUAUCAAAUCUGCAGUUACUAUAUCUCUCUUCCAAUGAAUUAAAUGUUAUAUUGGAUCUUCUAUCUUCUCAACAUUAACAAAUGAAUCUCAUAAAGUUUCAGUGUCCAAUACCAUUCACCAUUGGAAAUUUACCAUAUUUAGUUUCAUUAGAACUUUCUUCCAACAAAUUAAAUGGCCCAAUACCAUCCACCAUUGGCAAUCUAUCAAAUUUGGAGUAUUUAUUGCUCUCUUCCAACAGAUUAAAUGGUGAGCUUCCAUUCUCCCUCUGCAACUUGACAUAAAAUCUUUCGAAACUUGAUCAAAUCUGCACGCAUGCAUCUUCUUUUGAACUAGUUUUUUUUAAAUAAUGUUAUCCUUCAAAUGCUCAAUCAUAUAUGCAUUGUCGAUCACCCAAAGUAAAUGCCCCUAUAGUGUAGCAUGUCAUGAUUAGUACUUUGUUUGCUACACCACAAACAAGUAGUUUUUCUUUGUCUGAACUGUAGAAGAGGAAAUUGCCUGUUUCUAGUUCAUUAGUUCUUAAUUUUACUAUGUUUGUUAAUGCAAACUUGCUUUAAAGUUGCACACUAGAAGGCUUGUGGCUUUUGCGAUAAAUAAGCUAAUUUAUUACACGUUAUUUUGUUCCUUCCCUGCAUAUUUUAUGCCUUAUUUAUAAGUACUAGCAGGAAGAACGUGCGAUGCACGUUGAACACGUAUGUUUUUUACUAUGUAAAUAAAAUUCAUAGAUAUUUUUAUAUAGUUUUGAAUAUUUGUAUUAAUUCAUUUGACUAUAAUUGUAAUUUAAAAAAGGAACCAAUGCAACGAUUAACGAAUAAAUUUAAAUGUAAUAAAGUAAUAUUCAUAAUAUACCUCUAAAUAAAUAUGCAAAAAAAUCUAUGAAAAACAUCCUAAAUUAUAUAUGUACGGAGCAAGACGAAUUUUAAACAUUUUCUUAUUUGAUUUUGACGAUUGAGGAUCUUUUGUUCUUAUUUUUGGUCAGCAGCAGAUCGUCGUCACUUGUAAUCUCAAUGUAGUCAUCAAACUUUUUCUUGGUUACCCUUCUUUUUUUCUUUUGCGAUUCUGUGGGCUGCAACUCCAUCGUAGAUUUUUUCUUUCUAGACGGGAUUUUCUUUUUUGAUUUCUUGGGUGAAUGUUUCUUUUCCUCCACUUGAGUCGGCUCUUCUUCAAUAUCUCCAACAUCGAUGUUUUUCAUUGGUUGCAUUUUUUGGAUUGCAUUUGCUACGAUAUUGAGAUUUCCUCGUUGAACGAAUUUUAUAUACUUGAGCAUCGUCAUGAAGCGCAUUUCCGUGUACGCUUGUGUGCUUAAUCUUCUAUAGUAUGUGGAGUCUGUUUCACCAUGUGAAAAUAUAUAAUUGUUAUAAUUACGUAAUAUCGAAUUUUGUAAUAUUAACAAUUUAAAUUAUAGCAAGUGUUCAAGUAAGAAAUCUUAAUUUACCUCUUUGAUUGAAGAAAAAUAUUCAUCCACAGAGCAUCCUACAUAUACCUCUGCCGCUUGAUCGAAUAGUGUAACAUGUGCAUUGCAGUCGCCUUGUAUAACAUUUAUUGUGAAUUUGUAUCUAGAAUUAUAUAAAAUGAUAAAAAUUAUUAUAUUUUUGUUAUUGUGUCAUUAACUAAUUUUCAAUUGGUAGUAGUUUUUAAUUUGAUAAUUACGUAUUUACGUGGGCGACGUCUCAAAAACUUCUUCAUUGCAUUUUUUGCAUAUUGCACUCUCAUCAAUUUUGGAGAAAGAUGUGUUGCAAUUUUACAAGAAUACCUCUUUUUUUGUGCGGUUUCUUUGAAUGUUGUGCAUUUUAUACCAUUAACCGUCAAUGAAUGUUGGAAAGAGGUUGGUCCUCUAACAAGAUUCAACAAUAAUUUUCCGUAGUACAUUUCUCCUUCAAUCGGACUUACAACAUUUAUGGUACAACCCAUUGGUUGUCUAAGUCUGCAUUCCGAACACGUACAGUUGAUCCAUUUUUUCUUCUUCUGUGAAUUGGAUUUCCAUUUUUACUUUGUUGUAUGUUUUUACAAUAUGGUCGUGGAUAAUGGCAUUUGCAUUUUCCUUUCACCAUACAAUGAUUAUUUAGAUUUUUCUCUCAACAAGGUCCAUGUAUCAUAUAUUUUUUCACCAAUUCAAACAAUUCAGAAUUAUUUUAUUCAUCGGGAAGUUCGACACUUACAAACUUAUUUAGGAAGUUCGGCACCUACAAACUUAUCUAUUUCACUUGUCGUAUUCAACUUGACUUGAAAAUUAUCAGCAUGUGGACAUGUGGUAACCAUCUUUUUUGAAAUUCAACUACAUCAUGUGCAGCUACAUGUCCAAAAAUUUUCCUCUUGAAUAAUUGAUCUUUCAAGUCUUGCAGUUUUGCUCGAAAUACUCGUGUAGUUAAGUCUGGAUGAUCUUGAGCUGUUUUACUAUCAUAUAAUGCUUCUUGUAUUUCUUUCCACUCUGGAUUGCAAGUCAUUGUAAUGAAUAGAUAUGGUUUUCCAAAUUUUUGUACUAAUGUCAAUGCAUCAAGAUAUCUACGGCACA